AGCUGCAAAAUUCCUUCUGCCAUGUAAAGUAGCAUAUUGACAGUCUCCAGAGAUUAGGACAGGGACAUCUUCAGGGGCCUUCUGCCUACCACAAAGUGGUGGGGAAGGAGACAUCUGCUCUACAGAAUCAUUGAUGACCAUUUAGCAGAGAGAAAGAGACCCACAAGUUGAGGGCACAAGAGAAGAACUAAGUAAAUAAGCUGAAACUUUUUGAUUAUUCCAAAUGAGCAAAAGCUACCCUAAUAAACAGAAAAGGAGUAGCCCAAUAGUAUGUGAUUAUAAGAAUAAGAAUUAAUAUUUGAAGCAUUUACUUGGUGCCAGCAUCACACACACACACACACACACACACACACACACACACACACACAUUGUAUGUAGUAUGUAAGUCACAUUUUAUAAAUGAGAAAAGAGAGGUUAUUAGAGAUUAAGAGAAAUUACCUGAACUCUCAAUCUCACAGCUAGUAAGUGCUGCACAUGGCAUUUGAAUCUAGUUCUGAUGUGGGAGCUGAGCUAACCACCGUCACAGGAAAGCAGGUGACCUGCUGCAUACCCUCGUACCAAGCCUUAGCUGAUAGUUGAUCCUUCAUCAAUGCAAUAGUCCAGUACGGAUAUUUGGUGGGCAGUCUUUCCUGGUGUGAUUCUGGAGCCCAAGCAACUUCUACCUGUGUCUCUGCCAGCUGCUAGAUCUCAGGGUCUCCUGCCCCCAGAGGCAGACAGGAAAAUAAGUGUUAAAGACAGUUUGCCUAUUUUUUAAGCACCUCCUCCCAGAAGGGACGCAUCUCCUCUAUUCACAUCCCAUUGGCAGAAGCUGGUCAUACGAGCCCACCUCGAUGGUAGAGGCAGAGAAACCUUGCCUCUAGUAGGACAACUACUUUCCAGAAAUAACUCUACACUUUGGACAGGAAGCAUAAAUGUGAUGAACAGCAAACCAUAUCCAAAAUGACAGUACUGACACAUGAAUGAGUGAGUGACUACAUGAAUGAGUAAAUGAGUAAAUGAAGACAUCUUGCUUCUCAUGUCCUCCUAACAAAAAUUAAGGAUACUCUCUCUAUGAAGCUGCUCUCCGUGGCAGGGGAGGAACAACUAAAUCACCUAAACAAUAAAGGCAGAUCAGGUUUGCUAAGGUCUCUGGAAUUAUCAAAACAACAUCAAAACAUUCCAUCUUUCCUAAGGACAGUGUUGAGAGACCUCUAGCUGUCCACAUGUAGAUAGAACAGGAUCCCCAGUGUUUCACCAGACACUUAGAUGACCGAGUGUAAGACUAGAAGAUUCCAACCAUGUCAACAUUAGCUGUAAUCAGUAUGUUCUGGAAAACAGCAUGCAAACAGAACCGUGACAUGAGGCCUCUGCGGGAGUGUCAUUAAUAUAAAGGGGCUCCUUUCUUCCUCUUUUUCUCUUCCUCCAGGCUGGAGAUUGGGGAGCCAUCCUGGAUCACGAAGUAGUUCCUUGGGUUUGGUGGAGAAACAAGUGAGGGUAAAGCUGGUUCCCUGCCGAGCACGGGGUUACCCAACCAGUCUUGGGCUGCUGGACUCCAGAUUGGGUUUAUGUGAGAGAGAGAAACUUCUGUAAUGUUGAAGCCACUGUUGUCUUCCAUUUUUCUGUUACUCACAGACAGUCCUAAUCCUGACUAAUGCACACAGGACUCCGUCUCUCUUUAUCAAAGAGUAUCAUUAUGCAAAACACGCCACUGACCACCACACCAGCCUCCACCACAACUAUUUCUAUGCAUCAAAGGAUCUGCCUGGAAACCUCACUUUCAUCACUGGCAUUUCUGCCUUCCUACCUCACCUCAGCUGGUGUCUGUGAUGGCAGGGCCUGCUAGGCAAGACUUGACAAACAGGAGUAAAUGAAGGGUUUUCUCACAGGCCUUGCCCACAAGUUGCCUUGCUGUCAAGCCUGUUUUAUGCUGAGUGACUCUGGUGGGUUGGGUUAAAAGUGCAAUGGCAGAAAUGCUUCCAAACAGCUGUCAUCUUCCUGGAAAUUGUAGCUUCCUGUUACCCUUGUAAACCUCCAGGGACAGAAGUUCAAAAGUGAUCCACUUCCUACUGACACUUUUACAGUGAGAUCUGCCUUCCCUAAUCCUUCUGCUAAGGACUGGGCCUGCUAACCCAGAUAACCUGUAGUCCUGGGGCAGAAGCUGCCUGAGGCAGGGCUUCUGCUGAGGCACAGUGUUGAUAUUUCUGUGGAAAGCUCUGUUUGUCAGUGAGGAACUCAAAAUCAGUUUUGAAUCCCAAAGAUUUAGGACACACACUGGGGCAUUGCUUCCAGUUCCUGGCUCCAAGGAAGGUCCCACUGAGAUCGAUGCUGGCUUUUUCUCCUUGGAACCAUGGUUUGCAAUAUUUCUUUGACCAUGAACCCUUAGACCAAGAGAUGAAUCUUGUGAACCACCUCCUCCUAGAAAAGAAGCACACAUGUUCAUGCAAUGCACAACUUGGCCCAUAACUCCCUAAGGCUCUCGGAUCCCUGACACCCAUCCAUGAGUCUGGAGUCCCCAGGUUAAGAAGGCUUAUGUUGAACUCCAGAGAAGAUUUAGAAAUAUCUUAAGUCAUCUAGUUUCUUCUUUGAGAUAGAGUCCUCACUACCACUCUGAAACAGAGUAGCCCAAAUUCAUUCUAGAGGCUUCAAUUGUCUACUGGCUUUACUAUUACUUAUGACCAAUAGUGAGAAAAACAUGGCACACUCCCUCCCUGCUCCCAGCUCCAAGGUCCUGUAACUGAAAUUUAACUCCCAAGUAACUCUUCUUUCCUGACUUACACAAGGAACCCACACACAGCCAGAUUGGACUAUGUACAGUUUCCCAAACAUGCUGAGGUGCCUUCUUCUGAACUCUGCCCUUGUUCAGAUCAUUUCCUACCCCUAGCUCUUCGCUGAUCACUAUCUGUCAGAAUGCCAUAACUUCUCCAUAAAGCUUUUCUUGAACCCCACCUUUGUGCAGUCAGCCUGAGAUUGAAUAUCUAUUACAGCCUAUAUCACCUUUCAUAGUGGAUUAUUUGGGCUUCUGUACACCCAAAUAUCUGAAUUCUUGAGGUCUAUGAUCAGAAUGAUUAGGUUUCAAUUCUGGCUCUGGCUCGUUCUUGCUGUGUAGCCUGUGUACACUUCCUAAUCUUUCCAUGCUUCAGUUUCCUUGUUGACAAAAUGGACAUAAUAACAGUUUCCACUUCACAGGCUUAAAUGAAAUUUAAAAUUCUUAGCAUGGUGCCUGGCACAUGGAAAGCAUUUGAUAAGGAGUAUUUUUAUUCUAGUGGAUUGUACACUUCUGUCCCCAUCCCCUAUCAUUAAGCUGUUAAGUAGUUGAAGGGAGAGCCUGGGUCUUAGUCAUCACUUUAUACCUCAUAGAACCUUACCAAGAAAAACUUUGGACAUAGUAAAUAAUCAAUAGAUGCUAUAUGAAUGAAAAUGAAUCAUCCAUAAAGAUUUUAUCUAAGAACUUCAAACAGCAUCAUUGUCAUCUGUAUUUCAGGAAUAGAUGGGUGGGGGACAGACAGUGAGAUGGAUGCUAAUUUGAGAUGACACAUCAUUCUGGGUCUUGAAAAAACAUUCUGAUUACAACUCUGUCCUAACCCCAGAAAUUUUAUUCCAUCAUGAAAGAUAGGCCAAGAAUUCCCAUCUUCUCCAAUUAUGACUUUUUUUUUUCAACUCCUGUUUAAUUGGACAGAUAUUCAUUUAGCAACCAUUGGGUGUCAGGUUUUGUGAUGAGGGCUGGAGAUCAAAAUGUCUUUCUGGAG
rnacentral:lncRNA from 1 species